UAAAAUUCCACAAUCUCUCUCCGCCCAAAAAGACCUUUUAAUCACCAUCUCCAUUGCCUUUUACAGACAGAAAGCAGAAUUAAUACAAAGGGGAAAACAACAGAGAAAAGAUCAGAGGUAGCAAAAACACAAUGGACGAUUGCAAGCCAUUGGGUUUCUUGAUUGGCCUGCCUUUUGCCUUCCUUUCAUUGAUCUUCUCUUUCGUCGGCGCCAUCAUCUGGGUCUUCGGGUCAAUUUUGAGCUGUUUUUGCCCAUGUUGCAUAUGCUGUGUUGGGGUACUAAAUUUGGCAGUAAGCCUUGUUCAGCUGCCUCUCACAAUACUCGGAUGGUUCAUUGAUCUCAUUCCUUGCUGAUCAGAAUCACAUCAUUUUCAUUUCAUCUCUAACACCAUAUCUCCAUUUCCAACUGCUCUAUAUAUAUUUAUAUGUAUGUAUACAUACACAGCUUCUGUAUAUGUUAACACUCUAGCUUCUUGCAAGCUGUGUGGUAUUACAUCAAAUUAAACAUGUUUAGACAAU